GAGUUUGAUCCUGGCUCAGAUUGAACGCUGGCGGCAUGCCUUACACAUGCAAGUCGAACGGCAGCAUGAUCUAGCUUGCUAGAUUGAUGGCGAGUGGCGAACGGGUGAGUAAUACAUCGGAACGUGCCCUGUAGUGGGGAUAACUAGUCGAAAGAUUAGCUAAUACCGCAUACGACCUGAGGGUGAAAGUGGGGGACCGCAAGGCCUCAUGCUAUAGGAGCGGCCGAUGUCUGAUUAGCUAGUUGGUGGGGUAAAGGCCCGACCAAGGCGACGAUCAGUAGCUGGUCUGAGAGGACGAUCAGCCACACUGGGACUGAGACACGGCCCAGACUCCUACGGGAGGCAGCAGUGGGGAAUUUUGGACAAUGGGCGAAAGCCUGAUCCAGCAAUGCCGCGUGUGUGAAGAAGGCCUCGGUUGUAAG
rnacentral:rRNA from 1 species